rnacentral:antisense_RNA from 1 species
CUAUUUCUUAUUUGGUUAUAUACAAAAUUGUUAGUUGAUCCAUCCUCUGCAA